GUAACGGCGAGUGAAGCGGCAACAGCUCAAAUUUGAAAUCUGGUCCCCAGGGCCCGAGUUGUAAUUUGCAGAGGAUGCUUUUGGUGAGGUGCCUUCCGAGUUCCCUGGAACGGGACGCCAUAGAGGGUGAGAGCCCCGUCUGGUUGGAUACCGAGCCUCUGUAAAGCUCCUUCGACGAGUCGAGUAGUUUGGGAAUGCUGCUCUAAAUGGGAGGUAUAUGUCUUCUAAAGCUAAAUAUUGGCCAGAGACCGAUAGCGCACAAGUAGAGUGAUCGAAAGAUGAAAAGCACUUUGAAAAGAGGGUUAAAUAGUACGUGAAAUUGUUGAAAGGGAAGCACUUAUGACCAGACUUGGCCCCGGUGAAUCAUCCAGCGGUCCCCGCUGGUGCACUUUGCCGGGGUUCAGGCCAGCAUCAGUUCGCUCCGGGGGAUAAAGGCUUUGGGAAUGUGGCUCCCUCGGGAGUGUUAUAGCCCAUUGCGUAAUACCUUGUGGCGGGCUGAGGUUCGCGCUUUAUGCAAGGAUGCUGGCAUAAUGGUCAUCAGUGACCCGUCUUGAAACACGGACCAAGGAGUCGUCUUCGUAUGCGAGUGUUCGGGUGUUAAACCCCUACGCGUAAUGAAAGUGAACGCAGGUGAGAGCCCUCCAGGGCGCAUCAUCGACCGAUCCUGAUGUUCUCGGAUGGAUUUGAGUAAGAGCAUACGGGGCCGGACCCGAAAGAAGGUGAACUAUGCCUGUAUAGGGUGAAGCCAGAGGAAACUCUGGUGGAGGCUCGCAGCGGUUCUGACGUGCAAAUCGAUCGUCAAAUAUGGGCAUGGGGGCGAAAGACUAAUCGAACCUUCUAGUAGCUGGUUUC
rnacentral:rRNA from 1 species